rnacentral:rRNA from 1 species
UGGGGAAUAUUGCGCAAUGGGCGAAAGCCUGACGCAGCGACGCCGCGUGGGUGAUGAAGUUCUUCGGAACGUAAAACCCUGUCGGGAGGAACGAAGCUCUGACGGUACCUCCAAAGGAAGCCCCGGCUAACUCCGUGCCAGCAGCCGCGGUAAUACGGGGGGGGCAAGCGUUAUUCGGAAUUACUGGGUGUAAAGGGCGCGUAGGCGGCUAAAUUGGUCAGGUGUGAAAUCCCUCGGCUUACCCGAGGAACUGCGCUUGAUACCAUUUGGCUUGAGUACAGGAGAGGUGGGCGGAAUUCCAGGUGUAGCGGUGAAAUGCGUAGAUAUCUGGAAGAACACCGGUGGCGAAGGCGGCUCACUGGACUGUCACUGACGCUGAAGCGCGAAAGCGUGGGGAGCGAACG